rnacentral:rRNA from 1 species
GAUGAACGCUAGCUACAGGCUUAACACAUGCAAGUCGCGGGGCAGCAUGGGGGUUGCUUGCAAUCCCCGAUGGCGACCGGCGCACGGGUGAGUAACGCGUAUCCAACCUGCCCUUCACCGCGGGAUAACCCGGCGAAAGUCGGACUAAUACCGUAUGUUGUCCAUUGACGGCCUCCGAUUUGGACGAAAGGUUUGGCGGUGAAGGAUGGGGAUGCGUCCGAUUAGCUGGACGGCGGGGUGACGGCCCACCGUGGCGACGAUCGGUAGGGGUUCUGAGAGGAAGGUCCCCCACACUGGAACCGAGACACGGUCCAGACUCCUACGGGAGGCAGCAGUGAGGAAUAUUGGUCAAUGGGCGUAAGCCUGAACCAGCCAAGUAGCGUGCAGGAUGACGGCCCUAUGGGUUGUAAACUGCUUUUAUGCGGGGAUAAAGUGGCCCACGUGUGGGUUUUUGCAGGUACCGCAUGAAUAAGGACCGGCUAAUUCCGUG